GGGCCCAUAGCUCAACGGUAGAGCAUCCGGCUCAUAACCGGCUGGUUCUAGGUUCGAAUCCUAGUGGGCCCA
rnacentral:tRNA from 1 species